rnacentral:tRNA from 1 species
GCAGUGGUAGUUCUGUGGUAGAAUUCUCACUUUCCAUGCAGGAGACCUGGGUUCAACUCCUAGGCAAUGCA